AGCGUGGUAGCUUAAUUGGAAGAGCAUUGGCCUGGAAAGCCAAAGGUCCCGAGUGAGAUCCCUGGCUGCGUCG